CCUGCCCAUGGCAGCGGUUGGAACUGGAGGAGCUUUAAGGUCCCUUCCAACCCAAACCAUCCGGUGAUGUUAUGAAGAAGGCCAAUGCUUCUUUACUGGGUGCAGCUCCUUUUGUGGUGUUGUAAAAAGCACCCAGUGCUGGUCUUCCCGAGGUCACAGGUGACUUCACGGCACAGAGUCAUUAGUGCACAGGGAGUGUUGGGUAUCGGCACCUUCCUGUUAGCCUCCUGUAAUGAGAAUAUUGGCAUCGGUGUCGCAUGCCUGCCUCUGGCUGACCAUGGAGAGGCCUUGCCCAGCGAAGCUGGAGCAGCACCAUGUGGGAAAUGCAGGAUUCCCUGCCAGUGUCCCCCUGCUUGCUGCAGGUUUGUAGCACAGCUCUGACUUCAUGCUUUUUUUUGGCACAAAAAAUGAGUGCAGAGCAAGUAUGAGGUGUCCAGGCCAGCUUUCAUACUGUGCUCCUGGGAAAGCUGGUGUGUGGUGUCCUAUGAAAACUGCCAAUAGCUCCUGUGCCUGAGGCCUCGGCUGUACUUGAAGUAAAUCACCACGGACAGGGAUAUGACUUUUAUUCUCUCAUCAGGGAUGUGUUGGUUUGGAGAUGCACCUUGUGCUCCUCAGAGGCCUCUGCUGGCAUGGAGGGACCCUGGAUUGAGAAGCUGGCUGCUUGGGAUGUUCCCAUAUUUUCCAGCCUGGAAGACUGAAGUCCUCUCUGUUUAGCUGGUACAAUGCCCUGUCUUUGGGAAAACCCCUUGUGAGGAUCCGGAACCAGACUUCGUGUCCAAAGCAUUAUCUGUGUGUGAGCUGAUCUCCUCUGUCUUGGCAACAAAUGAGCCCAAAUAGCAAACAGCACCAAUGCCUUCUUGGAGAAAAUUAUCCGUCGCAUAAAACGUUAAUGGGUAAGCAAUAAAAUUAGGUCUGUAAUUCAGGCUUGGCUUAAAACUGAGCUAAAAGCCUCACUGGCAUUUGGGUAUUCAGCUGCCAUAGCAUCGUUUUAAUAAAUAGAGUCAAUGAGCAGGAAAGGGCUGUAAAUAAAUACAGUUUAUAGUGACAAGAUGGUGGCUGGAGCUGGGUGGCUCAAACAAAGAAAUGCUCUGUGUGUUCCUCGUGAUGUCUGAGGGCUCCCAUAUGGGUAACCUGUGGUUUUCCAGUAAAAAACAAAGCAAGUGGGAUGUGCACUGGAUGCUAUUGAGGGGGGAUUGCUGUGUGUCACUAAUGUGACUGCUCUAAUCCAUGCUGGAUGUCACUGUCCGUGUCCCCAGCUAUGGGGAGAGGUGUAACGCCUUCCUUCCCGACUCCAGCCGUGCUCCACAGAUCAAUUGCUACUCUGGGACCCAGUGUAAGGAGUUACA